UGCUAGUUACAGGUAGAACCAAUACAACCAAUAUCAAUAUAGUUGUUAGUUUGCUAGGAAAAAACAUACAAAUUAUUUGAAUUAUUUUAUUUUCAAUUUUUAAAAUUUCAAUUCUUUUUGUAGAAGAACAUCUUUGAACAUAAAAGGGAGGUUGUUGGUCCCUAUUUGGAGCAUGGGAAUCAUUGGACAUUUUUUCAUAGUAAUAUUGUGGACCGGAGUAUAACGUACCUAAACUCACUAGGGGAACAGGAUGAGCAGUACUCUAAAAUAGAAAAGAAUUGGAGUGCCUAUGCUGCAUCAAAAGGCUAGCUGGGGCCAUGGAAAAGGAUAAAGCGGGAACAUACCCUUCAGACUGAUAGUAUUUCAUGUGGCAUUUUCACAGCUGUGUUUGCUGAGAUCUUUCUAGAAGGCAAGGAGGAGUAUCUUGCUUGCCCAUCUGUAGAGCAAGAGAGGGAACGACUAGGGUUACUUCUUUUCAAUUCACUUG